rnacentral:lncRNA from 1 species
CAGUGGUUAAGUGCCCCUAGGUUUAAUUCCGGCACGAAGGGAAAAAAAGCAAGACCUGAACACGGGUCUGCUGGUGAAGCUGCAGCAUGAGUUCUGCUCAUAAGUCUCCCUUCCUAGGCUGGGCGGGCGAGAGAAGGAGACAGUGACAAUCUCUGCCGCAGGAGAGGCCCACAUGACCUGCAGGGCCCCCCUCAAGAAGACUUUUGCCAGGGAGGGACCUGCAGGGCCCUCUCAGGAAGUCCUUUGCCAGGGAGGGGCAGGAGGAUGGCGGUGCUGCAUGCUGAAAGGAGUCUUGUGCCACAGGCCUAGUCCGCUCAUACCAGGCGCUGGGUAAGCAGUCUUGAGAUCCACAAAUAGAGCUGAGCUGGGCAGCCCAAGGUUGCCAUGGUUACUGGCCCUGAUGCCACCACCUUGGUGGCUCAACUGAAUGUGGCUUGGCUUUUUCUAUUGCUUUGGAGCUCCCAUAGUCUGAUCUAUGACCAGGCUAUGACUGUCCCUGCUUGGCAGAAGCCACCCAACUUUCAGGCCUUUCUCACCAAGGAAUCUAGCAGAGUGAUUGCUGCAGACUUGGGUUCGCAGGACUAAGGCCUCCAUGGCUCUGUGUUCCCAAGAAGAAGGGAAGGCUCUGUUCCGGGGGUGACUGGGCUUGGCAAUGGAAAGUUCAAGGGGGAGAAACCAACAUGGAAAGUGCAAGCCAUGGUUCUGAAGCGGUAUGUUAAAUAUAUAAUGCCCAAGAGACCAGUGUUGGAGGGAAGCAAAUUGGCAGGGCUGAGGGCUCUGGGGUUUUCUGUGCAGACAGAUUCAGCUAGAGAAAUUAAGAUUGGAGCUCGUGCUGGGAGAAGUCCUUCACAGCCAGGACUGCAGCUGGGCAGAGGGACAGAGACUCAAGUGGCUGAUCAGAGAGGCCUGUGGUGUGGGCAUGUGGUUGGAGGGCCAAGCAGAGUGCUACCAUCCUGGAGGUCAAGCAUGAACUCAGUCUUGACAAAACAUGGGCCACCAUCUCGAAACUGGCUCACCCUUCGUCCCAGGAGCAGUG